rnacentral:tRNA from 1 species
GCGGGUGUCGCCAAGGGGAGUUGGCAGCAGCUUCCCAAGCUACCAUUCGACGGUUCGAAUCGGUUCACCCGCU